UGGUCAGGUUGGUCGAACCACACUCGAGCUUGGGCAUUCAUUUAUUGCAUGAUUUGGUGUUGUCAUGUUAAUGGUUGGACCUAAUCAGGAUUUUUAGUAGAGAUGCCACACGUCUGCUGAAGAGUUGCUUGGGGAAAAACUUAAUUGCUAAAAAUUAUUUGGUGAAAUAAUUAGUUAAGAACCUACCCAUGGAUACACUAGGAUUGGUCGAGCCACACUCGGAUCC
rnacentral:lncRNA from 1 species